ACGAACGCUGGCGGCGUGCUUAACCCAUGCCAGUCGAACGGAAAGGCCCUGCUUUUGUGGGGUGCUCGAGUGGCGAACGGGUGAGUAACACGUGAGUAACCUGCCCUUGACUUUGGGAUAACUUCAGGAAACUGGGGCUAAUACCGGAUAGGAGCUCCUGCUGCAUGGUGGGGGUUGGAAAGUUUCGGCGGUUGGGGAUGGACUCGCGGCUUAUCAGCUUGUUGGUGGGGUAGUGGCUUACCAAGGCUUUGACGGGUAGCCGGCCUGGGAGGGUGACCGGCCACAUUGGGACUGAGAUACGGCCCAGACUCCUACGGGAGGCAGCAGUGGGGAAUAUUGCACAAUGGGCGGAAGCCUGAUGCAGCAACGCCGCGUGCGGGAUGACGGCCUUCGGGUUGUAAACCGCUUUCGCCUGUGACGAAGCGUGAGUGACGGUAAUGGGUAAAGAAGCACCGGCUAACUACGUG
rnacentral:rRNA from 1 species